CAUCAUGGCGGCCUGCAAGUAUGGCCUCAUGUUCAGUGAACUUCUAAAAUUUAACUGUAAAAGUGUUGGUUUUGACUGACAUUGGCUAUUAAUAGGUUUAGAUGAAAUGAUAUAUCAACAAAAGGAAGCAUUGUUUCUUUAGUGUGGUGCUGAGGAGGAAUAAAUGAGGCAAAUACUGAUUGAGAUCUUUGUUGCAAAACUAUCAAGUCACAUGAUAAUCACUGCCUUCCAUACUUGUAAUAACCUCAUUUUAGCCCAAUAGGCUUUCAAGGAAUAUGUCUUCUUGCAGUAACCAACCAUUAAAAUGAGUAAAUAACCCGCCAUAGAGAUACACUCCUGUUCCGAUGGAAGAUAUCUGUGACCAAACCUGGUCACCCUUCAUCAUAUGGAGCGUUGACUGAAG